rnacentral:rRNA from 1 species
AUUGAACGCUGGCGGCAUGCUUUACACAUGCAAGUCGAACGGUAGAGGGGGCAACCCCCUGAGAGUGGCGAACGGGUGAGUAAUGCAUCGGAACGUGCCCAGUCGUGGGGGAUAACGCAGCGAAAGCUGUGCUAAUACCGCAUACGAUCUAUGGAUGAAAGCGGGGGACCGUAAGGCCUCGCGCGAUUGGAGCGGCCGAUGUCAGAUUAGGUAGUUGGUGGGGUAAAGGCUCACCAAGCCAACGAUCUGUAGCUGGUCUGAGAGGACGACCAGCCACACUGGGACUGAGACACGGCCCAGACUCCUACGGGAGGCAGCAGUGGGGAAUUUUGGACAAUGGGCGCAAGCCUGAUCCAGCAAUGCCGCGUGCAGGAAGAAGGCCUUCGGGUUGUAAACUGCUUUUGUACGGAACGAAACGGCGAGCUCUAAUACAGUUUGCUAAUGACGGUACCGUAAGAAUAAGCACCGGCUAACUACGUGCCAGCCGCCGCAGUAA